GACGGAGGGUGCUAGCGUUGUUCGGAUUUACUGGGCGUAAAGGGCGCGUAGGCGGCCACCGCAAGUCAAUUGUGAAAUCUCCGGGCUUAACUCGGAAAGGUCAACUGAUACUGCGGGGCUAGAGUGCAGAAGGGGCAACUGGAAUUCUCGGUGUAGCGGUGAAAUGCGUAGAUAUCGGGAGGAACACCAGUGGCGAAGGCGACUACCUGGCCUGUUCUUGACGCUGAGGCGCGAAAGCUAGGGGAGCAAACGGG
rnacentral:rRNA from 1 species